UACAGAGGUGGCAAGCGUUGUUCGGAAUUACUGGGCGUAAAGGGCGCGUAGGCGGCCUCGUAAGUCCCGUGUGAAAUCCCUCGGCUCAACUGAGGAAUGGCACGGGAGACUGCUUGGCUUGAGUUCGGGAGAGGGAAGCGGAAUUCCGGGUGUAGCGGUGAAAUGCGUAGAUAUCCGGAGGAACACCGGUGGCGAAGGCGGCUUCCUGGACCGACACUGACGCUGAGGCGCGAAAGCUAGGGGAGCAAACGGG
rnacentral:rRNA from 1 species